UACAGAGGUCUCAAGCGUUGUUCGGAUUUACUGGGCGUAAAGGGCGCGUAGGCGGUCAGCACAAGUCAGUUGUGAAAUCUCCGGGCUUAACUUGGAAAGGUCAACUGAUACUGUGCGACUAGAGUGCAGAAGGGGCAACUGGAAUUCUCGGUGUAGCGGUGAAAUGCGUAGAUAUCGAGAGGAACACCAGUGGCGAAAGCGAGUCUCUGGAUAGCAACUGACGCUGAAGCACGAAGGCCAGGGGAGCAAACGGG
rnacentral:rRNA from 1 species